UCGCUUGUAGCUUAAUUUGGUAGAGUAUCCGGCUUUUAACCGGAGGGUUGUGGGUUCGAGUCCCACCAGGCGAACCA
rnacentral:tRNA from 1 species